AUGAGGAAGUCCGGUGAGAAUCCGGCGCGGUCCCGCCACUGUCACCGGGGAGCGUUCCUCCGACGAAGGUCACGGUCCGCCUCGUGUACGUCCGAUGACGUACACAGGGACUGGAAGGCCGGAGGACUCGCCGAUCCGGGGAGCCAGGAGACUC
rnacentral:ncRNA from 2 species